UUUCUCUCGAUGCUGGGAAUUUCUUCUCUGGAUGGAUCCAUCUAACUAUGGCGGAAUCAAAGGAAAAGUUUCAUCUCGUAUUCACUGCGGACUGCAAGACUCCCAGAAAGCAGGGGGAGCAGAGGAUGAGCAGGAAAAUGAGGACGAUGAGGAGGAAAGAGAUGGGGAGGAGGAGGAAGAGGCGGAGGAAUCCAACGUGGAGGAUUUACUGGAAAACAACUGGAACAUUUUGCAGUUUUUGCCACAGGCAGCCUCCUGCCAGAACUACUUCCUCAUGAUUGUUUCAGCGUACAUCGUGGCCGUGUACCACUGUAUGAAGGACGGGCUGAGGCGCAGUGCUCCAGGGAGCACCCCCGUGAGGAGGAGGGGGGCCAGCCAGCUCUCCCAGGAGGCCGAGGGGGCGGUCGGAGCCCUUCCCGGUGAGCAGUCCUUUGUCUUUUGAGGCCACUGCCGUGUGCCAGUGACCUAACUCCUGGGUGGUCCCCAGUGCCAGUCCCCCAGGUGGGAGGUCCCCAGUGCCAGACAGGUCCCAGACCCCUCCCUCAGCAUCCUUAUACUUCCAGG
rnacentral:sRNA from 1 species